ensembl:snRNA U6 U6 spliceosomal RNA
GUGCUUGCUUUGGCAACACAUAAACUAAAGUUGGAAUGAUACAGAGAUUAACAUAGCCCCUGUACAAGGAUGAUGCACAAAUUUGUGAAGUGUUCCAUGUUUUA